rnacentral:rRNA from 1 species
UGAAUGGCAACACGGAAAACCCCUGUAUCACGUAUAUUAAUAAAAUUUUAUUUUUGGGUGAAAAAGCCCAAAUAAUAGAGGAAGACAAAAAGACCCCGCGGAGCUUUACUUUGUCAAGCCAAACAAAUCUGCCAGAUUAGUUAUGCUAAUAAGUUUGGUUGGGGCAACCCUGGAACCGCUAAAGCUUCCAGUUAAUCAUAGAACUUCAUCAAAAACAUCUUCGGACUAAAAAGAAGUUACCCCGGGGAUAACAGCGUAAUCCAACUUAAGAGU